AUUGAACGCUGGCGGCAGGCCUAACACAUGCAAGUCGAACGAGUGGCGGACGGGUGAGUAAUGUCUGGGAACCUGCCUGAUGGAGGGGGCUAACUCCUGGCAACGGUAGCUAAUCCCGCAUACCAUCAGAUGUGCCCAGAUGGGAUUAGCUAGUUGGUGGGGUAACGGCUCACCAAGGCGACGAUCCCUAGCUGGUCUGAGAGAGUGACCAGCCACACUGGAACUGAGACACGGUCCAGACUCCUACGUGAGGCAGCAGGGGGGAAUAUUGGACAAUGGGCGAAAGCCUGAUCCAUCCAUGCCGCGUGUGUGAAGAAGGUCUUCGGAUUGUAAAGCACUUUAAGUUGGGAGGCGUUACCAACAGAAUAAGCACCGGCUAACUCCGUGCCAGCAGCCGCGGUAAUUC
rnacentral:rRNA from 1 species